rnacentral:rRNA from 1 species
GAUGAACGCUGGCGGCGUGCCUAAUACAUGCCAGUCGAGCGAACAGACGAGGAGCUUGCUCCUCUGACGUUAGCGGCGGACGGGUGAGUAACACGUGGAUAACCUACCUAUAAGACUGGGAUAACUUCGGGAAACCGGAGCUAAUACCGGAUAAUAUAUUGAACCGCAUGGUUCAAUAGUGAAAGACGGUUUUGCUGUCACUUAUAGAUGGAUCCGCGCCGCAUUAGCUAGUUGGUAAGGUAACGGCUUACCAAGGCAACGAUGCGUAGCCGACCUGAGAGGGUGAUCGGCCACACUGGAACUGAGACACGGUCCAGACUCCUACGGGAGGCAGCAGUAGGGAAUCUUCCGCAAUGGGCGAAAGCUUGACGGAGCAACGCCGCGUGAGUGAUGAAGGUCUUCGGAUCGUAAAACUCUGUUAUUAGGGAAGAACAAAUGUGUAAGUAACUAUGCACGUCUUGACGGUACCUAAUCAGAAGGCCACGGCUAACUACGUG